CUUAACUUCUACUGUUCCCAUUGCUUUAGCACUAUUUCAGCUACACUUAAAAAUGGUUUUUUUGUUUUUAUUUUUAUUUUUUGGUAUUGUGCAAUAAUUUUCAAGGAUUUUCUACUAAAAGUUGCAUCUCUACUUAUCUAUCAGAGUUCCAGAAGCAGAAACUAUAGCAUAAAACAGAACAGCUGGUGGUGUGGCACUCAUGCUGCAAACAGGAAGCAAUGAGCAGGAUAGCAGAGGCUACAAGGAAUGUUGGAGCAGAAGAUCUGGAUCUCUGAGUCUCAGUCACUGUAUUUACCUUGACUGCUUAUCUUGGGUUAUGCAU
rnacentral:lncRNA from 1 species